rnacentral:rRNA from 1 species
AACGAACGCUGGCGGCAUGCCUAACACAUGCAAGUCGAACGAGACCUUCGGGUCUAGUGGCGCACGGGUGCGUAACGCGUGGGAACCUGCCCUUAGGUUCGGAAUAACUCCCCGAAAGGGGUGCUAAUACCGGAUAAUGUCUUCGGACCAAAGAUUUAUCGCCUUUGGAUGGGCCCGCGUUGUAUUAGCUAGUUGGUAGGGUAAAAGCCUACCAAGGCGACGAUCCAUAGCUGGUCUGAGAGGAUGAUCAGCCACACUGGGACUGAGACACGGCCCAGACUCCUACGGGAGGCAGCAGUGGGGAAUAUUGGACAAUGGGCGAAAGCCUGAUCCAGCAAUGCCGCGUGAGUGAUGAAGGCCUUAGGGUUGUAAAGCUCUUUUACCCGGGAUGAUAAUGACAGUACCGGGAGAAUAAGCGCCGGCUAACUCCGUG